CUGCUGCCUUCCGUAGGAGUUUGGGCCGUGUCUCAGUCCCAAUGUGGCCGUCCACCCUCUCAGGCCGGCUACUGAUCGCUGCCUUGGUGGGCCGUUACCCCGCCAACUAGCUAAUCAGACGCGGAUCCAUCGUAUACCACCGGAGUUUUUCGCACUGCCCCAUGCGGAGCCGUGCGCUUAUGCGGUAUUAGCACCUAUUUCUAAGUGUUAUCCCCCGGUAUACGGCAGGUUAUCCACGCGUUACUCACCCGUCCGCCA
rnacentral:rRNA from 1 species